AUGCAGAUCUUCGUGAAGACGCUGACGGGGAAGACGAUCACGCUCGAGGUGGAGAGCAGCGACACCGUCGACAAUGUCAAGGCCAAGAUCCAGGACAAGGAAGGCAUCCCACCAGACCAACAAAGGCUGAUUUUUGCUGGAAAGCAGCUGGAAGAUGGACGGACAUUAGCUGAUUACAACAUUCAGAAAGAGUCGACACUUCAUUUGGUCCUGAGGCUGAGGGGUGGGACUAUGAUCAAGGUGAAGACACUCACUGGUAAGGAGAUCGAGAUCGACAUCGAGCCUACCGACACAAUUGAUAGGAUCAAGGAGCGCGUCGAGGAAAAAGAGGGCAUCCCCCCUGUUCAGCAGAGGCUCAUUUAUGCUGGAAAGCAGCUUGCUGACGAUAAAACUGCUAAAGAUUACAACAUUGAAGGUGGUUCAGUUCUCCAUCUCGUGCUUGCUCUGAGGGGUGGUCACUAG
rnacentral:rRNA from 1 species